rnacentral:rRNA from 1 species
AGAUUGAACGCUGGCGGCAUGCCUAACACAUGCAAGUCGAACGGGAGUAGCAAUACUCUAGUGGCGGACGGGUGAGGAAUACGUAGGAAUUUGCCCUUAAGUGGGGGAUAACCCGGGGAACCCGGAUUAAUACCGCAUGACCUCGAAAGAGCAAAGUGGGGGAUCGCAAGACCUCACGCUUUUGGAGAAGCCUACGUCGGAUUAGCUAGUUGGUAGGGUAAAGGCCUACCAAGGCUACGAUCCGUAACUGGUCUGAGAGGAUGAUCAGUCACACUGGAACUGAGACACGGUCCAGACUCCUACGGGAGGCAGCAGUGGGGAAUAUUGGACAAUGGGCAAAGCCUGAUCCAGCCAUGCCGCGUGUGUGAAGAAGGUCUUCGGAUUGUAAAGCACUUUAAGUUGGAGGAAGGCAGUUAACCUAAUACGUUAGUGUUUUGACGUUACCGACAGAAUAAGCACGGCUAACUCUGUGCCAGCAGCCGC